UUGCCUAACAGCUAGCCCCCCCCACAAAAAACAACAACUAAAUAUUAAUAAACCCCCAGACACUAGUUUUGUACAAACAAAUCAUUUUACCCCCUUAGUAUAGGUGACAGAAAAGGAAAUUAGGAGCUAUAGAGAAAGUACCGCAAGGGAAAGCUGAAAGAGAAAUGAAAUAACCCAGUAAAGCCCAGAAAAGCAGAGACCACCCCUCGUACCUUUUGCAUCAUGAUUUAGCAAGUGUAAACCCGGCAAAGAGUCCUUUAGUCGAACUACCCGAAACUAAGUGAGCUACUUCAAGGCAGCCUAAAAAUAGGGCAAACCCGUCUCUGUGGCAAAAGAGUGGGAAGAACUUUAAGUAGAGGUGAUAAACCUACCGAACUUAGUUAUAGCUGGUUGUUCAAGAAGCGAAUAGAAGUUCAGCCUUCGGGUUCCUAGUUUCAACGAAGUUUUACCCCCUGAGAAGACCUAGAGAAGCCCGAAGAGUAACUCAAAGGGGUUACAGCCCCUUUGAGAUAAGAUACAACUUUUUAGGUGGUUUAAGAUCAUA
rnacentral:rRNA from 1 species